rnacentral:rRNA from 1 species
GAUGAACGCUAGCGGGAGGCCUAACACAUGCAAGCCGAGCGGUAUUGUUUCUUCGGAGAUGAGAGAGCGGCGUACGGGUGCGGAACACGUGUGCAACCUGCCUUUAUCUGGGGGAUAGCCUUUCGAAAGGAAGAUUAAUACUCCAUAAUAUAUUGAUUGGCAUCAAUUAAUAUUGAAAGCUCCGGCGGAUAGAGAUGGGCACGCGCAAGAGUAGCUAGUUGGUGAGGUAACGUCUCACCAAGGCGAUGAUCUUUAGGGGGCCUGAGAGGGUGAUCCCCCACACUGGUACUGAGACACGGACCAGACUCCUACGGGAGGCAGCAGUGAGGAAUAGUGGUCAAUGGGUGCAAGCCUGAACCAGCCAUCCCGCGUGAAGGACGACUGCCCUAUGGGUUGUAAACUUCUUUUGUAUAGGGAUAAACCUACCCUCGUGAGGGUAGCUGAAGGUACUAUACGAAUAAGCACCGGCUAACUCCGUGCCAGCCGCCGCGGUAACAC